UUUAAAUGAAUGUUUAGCAAAGGGGUUGUUUGGUCAUUACUUCUAAGUUAAAAGGAUUCUAGGGCUUUUAUGUCCUCUUUUCCUUGUUUGGACGAUUGAAAGAAGGGGUAAAUGAACGAAGACGGCGAAAAGGAAGCACGAAUGGGAAACAACUAUGGUUCGGUGGGAGAAAUCGCGAGGAGGGACGAGAAGGUGAGCAGCCAAUCUCCUGUGAGCCUUCUUGGGUUUCUUUCUCGUCGCCGACAGUAGGAAAAACGAAGGGGCAACCACAGCAGCGACUAGCGACGAUGGAGUGGUGUCUGAGGUGGCUGAUAUAGAUCGCGAGGAGGGGGCAGCUUCGGUGCUUGUCCGAACCGAAAAGGGGGAAAAGAUGAAUGCGACGAGGCUGCUCUUCUUCUGUCUCAGAAAGGGUUGCGAAGGGAAGGCGAUGGUUGUCCCGAUGGAGCAAGGCAGCAGCAACAACAGCGUAGAUCGUAUCGUCGGAGGCAGUUGCUCAAUGAAGAAGGUGUGGGAUGCGAGGGGUCUCCUGCUAGUCGUUGAGGAGAAAGAACGAGGGCGGAGUAUCAUCGAAUGGGUAGUGGAGUUUGGUUCGAUGGUGGCGAUUAUGUAGGACACAGGAGGGAGGCAUUCGACCUUUGGCGACCCUCCUUGCGGUUUCUUUCUUCAUUUAGUCCGAUCGGUAGCAAUACAAUUAGGUAAGGGAGGAAAACACACACUUCGGUGUAUUCAUGGUAUCAAACGAAGAAGGUGAAGGAAAGACGAGGUUUGGUGUUUACAGCUUCAAUCCAGAAAAACAUGUUUCCAUUGUGUAUGGUUUUGUAUAAAAAUGUUUCCUUUGCCAAUGGUUUGGUAUAAAAACCAGAUUAUAACCCGUUUUAAAUUAAAUGUAGAGGAACACAUAAAAAACAUAAAAAACAUACAAACGGCUUUAAAAUUUA